rnacentral:rRNA from 1 species
CACGUAGGGUGCGAGCGUUGUCCGGAAUUAUUGGGCGUAAAGAGCUCGUAGGCGGUGUGUCGCGUCGGCCGUGAAAACCUGUGGCUUAACCUUGGGCUUGCGGUCGAUACGGGCAUCACUGGAGUUCGGCAGGGGAGACUGGAAUUCCUGGUGUAGCGGUGAAAUGCGCAGAUAUCAGGAGGAACACCGGUGGCGAAGGCGGGUCUCUGGGCCGAUACUGACGCUGAGGAGCGAAAGCGUGGGGAGCGAACAGG